rnacentral:rRNA from 1 species
AUUUAUUCUUCUUAAGGGGACAGGCGGCUCUCAGCCGCACGAGAUAGAGCAAUAACAGGUCUGUGAUGCCCUUAGAUGUUCUGGGCCGCACGCGCGCUACACUGAAGGAAUCAGCGUGUGCUCCCCUGUCCGAAAGGUCCGGGUAACCCGCUGAACCUCCUUCGUGCUAGGAAUUGGGGCUUGCAAUUGUUCCCCAUGAACGAGGCAUUCCCAGUAAGCGCGAGUCAUAAG